GUAUAUUUAACAAAACCUGUCUAAUAAACAGGUAUAUACAAUAAUAAAAACACGCAUGUACUAUAAAAUUCGAUUGCAUCAAGUUUUCAGAGUUCUAAAACUAUAUUUUUUCUUCCAGGACAACAUCAGAAUUGACCUUCACAAAGUUACAACCGUUUCUCUCGACCAUCAAAACACAACGUUUUAUUUCUGGGCAACACUCAUAUAAUUCAAGCCAUGAAUUUCUUUUCCGAAUUUUUUUUUCUUUUUAUCUUCAAAGUCUAUUGAUUCGGUCAAGAAUAAGAAUUCUGCAAGCUCAAUAUAUUGGGAACUAAAGUUGAAGUAUACGACGACAGCACAAAAGAAUCCAUAGCUACCUGGUCAUAGUUGAAUAUCAAGAAAAAGUGAAAAAAAAUCUUAUUUUCCAUGGUGGAACUUAACCUUUUAAAGGUUUUAUCCUCGCAAAGCAAUAUUUGCUAUUCGUUGCUAUGGAAUUAGAAAUGGAGAAUUUUCUUUUAAGGAAUAACAUGAAAAUAAAAUGAAAACUAUAAUAAAGAGUACAAUAUCUGGCAAUAAUUCCCCAAAAAUAUUGCAUACUCAUCAUAAAGCAAACAAACGAAAAGUCGAAUUUCAAAUAAAUAUGACAAAAAGAAGAAGAUGAAAUGAAAAAAGUUAUAUGGCAAUUUCAUCCUAAGAUCUUAUUGACUUUUAACUUGAAAGAGCUUAUAUAUUUUUUCGCAUUAUCUUUGCUUUGUUAUAAAAUGAGACUUUCAAAGUAAUUUUAUGAUAUCUGCAGACCAUUGUAGAACGUUAUAUAAAUAAAAUUUAAUUUGUUUGAA